CCUUGGUCUUGCGGAUCGCGGUGAACCUUUUGCUGAGUUCCUGUGGGGCAGAAAAGGAAAUGUGGACAUCUGCACUACCAUCACCCUUCGUGUCAUGUCCUGUGGGAGCCAGGGCCCCACCUCCCCCAGCCUGCACCAAGCAUUGUGUAACAAGGGGAAGUAGAGGUUGGAACAUCCGGCAGACGCACCACCUACCGGCGGAAGUCCAUACUGCAGCCCAGCCGGAGUCCAGGUCAAUUCCAACCCAGAGAUCAGCUUCCUGUCCCAGAGGCAGGGCUCUGGAGGGCUGAGGAGAAAUCCACAGGGAGCCGGUAAUGGCAAGAGGCGGCUUUGGGCCAGGGAAAGUGCAGGAGAUGUCUCUGUUCUAGUAGCCAACUCCCUGCCAGCCUCCUCUCUGCCUCAAGCUGUUCCCGCCCAGACUCUGCCUGGAGAAGUGGCAGAUGCACCCCUGCCUCCAACCCAUCCCUAGAGCAGCUCUGAUUCCAGCGUGAAAAUAAUGUACGAGGAAUUGGUAUUAAAGUCACAUGUCAUUUAGUUUAAGAGAAGUGGCCCUGGUGCUUGCAUAUAACCCAAGGGGACCCGCACAGCUGUACGCUUGAUGUUAUUUGGGAUUUUCGUGACUGGAAAUCCAGUUUUCCAUCCAUUUAUUACCAUCAUUUUGGACAGAGGUGUUGUCAGAGCUCACCACUUUUACUUUAUGCCUCCUACCACACGGGCCUUUCCUGGGCAACCUCUCUGCCUCCUCACGGACUUGACAAUGACCUCAACCCCAUAGGGCUGAAGGCUUACAAGCCCCUUUCCACCUGGAAAAAAUGUCUGGAUUUUUGAUGAUUAGAUUUUGCCAGAGCUCAGCACUGGAAGCAGAGAGCUGGGCCACAGGAUCAUACAACGAGCUGUGAGUGAUUUCUGGGGCUACCCAUCUCCACACUGGACAGACUCAAAACUUCUGACAAUGAGCUGCUUUGACUGGGAAGGGACAUUUCUGGCGGCCUGGAUGCUCCCUGCCAUCAAGGUCUCCAGAGCUACAGAGGCUUCCCUUGGCACAGGACAGCUUGUCACACUACCCGGGACCUUCCAUUUACCUGAUGCCCCAGGGCCCAUCACAGGGCCUGGAACAGAGCUGGGGAUGAGAGGUUUGUUAAACGAAUAAAAGCCACUGCCUCCA